rnacentral:rRNA from 1 species
CCUACGGGAGGCAGCAGUGAGGAAUAUUGGUCAAUGGACGAGAGUCUGAACCAGCCAAGUAGCGUGAAGGAUGACUGCCCUACGGGUUGUAAACUUCUUUUAUAUGGGAAUAAAAUGUUCCACGUGUGGGAUUUUUUAUGUACCAUAUGAAUAAGGAUCGGCUAACACCGUGCCAGCAGCCGCGGUAAUACGGAGGAUCCGAGCGUUAUCCGGAUUUAUUUGGUUUAAAGGGAGCGUAGGUGGAUUGUUAAGUCAGUUGUGAAAGUUUGCGGCUCAACCGUAAAAUUGCAGUUGAAACUGGCGGUCUUGAGUACAGUAGGGGUGGGCGGAAUUCGUGGUGUAGCGGUGAAAUGCUUAGAUAUCACGAAGAACUCCGAUUGCGAAGGCAGCUGACUGGACUGCAACUGACACUGAGGCUCGAAAGUGUGGGUAUCAAACAGGAUUAGAUACCCCAGUAGUC